rnacentral:rRNA from 1 species
AAAACGACUCUCGGCAACGGAUAUCUCGGCUCUCGCAUCGAUGAAGAACGUAGCGAAAUGCGAUACUUGGUGUGAAUUGCAGAAUCCCGUGAAUCAUUGAGUCUUUGAACGCAAGUUGCGCCCGACGCCCUUCGGCCGAGGGCACGUCUGCCUGGGUGUCAC